GCUGCCCCGCUGCCGUGGGCCGGCGCCCCGCGGGUCUGUCGGGUGCAGUCCGUGGCUGUCCCCUGAGCGAUGCCGUGAGGGGUCGCCUGUUUUUAGGGUGAGAGCUGAAGGCAGCCUUUCACAACAGCCGUCGCGGGGAGAUGGGAACAGAUAAAUCAAGGAAAAACAUAGUGAGGGAGCCCUUCUCCCCUUCCCCUUAAGCACAGUGACUGACUAGCGGAAAGAACAAGAACCUGUGGAAAGUUCUGCCUACGCCACCACUGGAAACAUUGAACUUUUCUGGUCAAUGUCUAACAAAUGUCACAAAGUGAUACCAGAAGUGAUAAAUGCCAAAAUGCCAAUGCUUCUGAACAUGCCAUUCAAUUCUUAAAGUAGAGAAACAGGAGAUUAUAGUUUUCACCACCAUUCUUGCUGACAUGGUAAAUAACAUUCCAAGCUGUGAAAUCAGGAAUUGAGCAACAUUUAGGAAGACGCUAACUGGUUUGCAGACUAUGGAGUUCAUGGGGUUCAGUCUCUGCGCUGCGAGGAUAAGCUCCCUGAAGAGACACCGCUUCCUUGCAGCUUCCAAACCACACAAAGUCAUAGCCUCCAGCUAAAUGGUGCACCAACCCACGGCCAUCAGCCCGAAAGAGGCAGGGAGGAAGUGUCCCAGAACCAGAAAGGAUAUCUGAUGAAUAACACAACCAGGAUCAUUCCAUGUCAUUUGGCUGGAGACUGAGAGUCGAUUGAUCUGCAUCCUGAACGUCUAGUGCUUUUGUGGCUUCCAGCACCUGGCAGAGAUGUGAGGAGAGGAGGAAAAAGCUGAGAAGAAAUGGGUAAGUGAACAGGAGCUGAGAAAAUGUUACUGAAGGUGGAGAAUGGGUCCCAUGGGUCUCUUGUACACCGAUCCACCUGAACACGGUCGCUUUGACAUUCCUGAAGCAUGUGCGGGUAACAAAAGUUGUUGAAAGCUGAUGAUUUUGGAAAAAGAAGGGCUUGAGAUGCGGGGUGGCUGGAGAUGGAGUCUGCCCUGGCCCUGUGCCACAAGGCCUUCUGUUAAGCCUUUUUCUCCUGGGCUGUGUGACAAGCUGUUCAAAGGCAGCACCGUGCUCGCUGGUGUGGUGGGGAGCUGAGCGAGGGUCCUGCCCAUCUCACUCGGCACCUGGGACCUGGUGACCGGAAUUCACACCUAACCAUUCACAUAACUUGGUCUUACGGUUCUUAUCGCCUGAAAAUACCACUAAAAUGAUACAGUGGUGAACAAUAGCCUUUAGUGAAUUCUGAGCUAUACUAGAAUGUAAUGCUGGUGUUAUCACUUUGAGAUAAAUUCUUGGAAUGAAUAAAAGAUAUUUAAUAAUAUAGUAGUAUCUG